UAAUACGUAGGGUGCAAGCGUUGCCCGGAUUUAUUGGGCGUAAAGGGCGCGUAGGCGGCCCGGCGCGUCCGCGGUGAAAGCUCCCGGCUCAACUGGGAGAGGUCCGCGGAAACGGUCGGGCUGGAGCAAGGUAGGGGGUCGUGGAAUUCCCGGUGUAGUGGUGGAAUGCGUAGAGAUCGGGAGGAACACCAGUGGCGAAGGCGGCGACCUGGACCUGUGCUGACGCUGAGGCGCGAAAGCGUGGGGAGCGAUCCGGAUUAGAUACCCGGGUAGUCCACGCCGUAAACGAUGCACACUAGGUGUCGGGGGUAUCGACCCCCUCGGCGCCGCAGCUAACGCAUUAAGUGUGCCGCCUGGGGACUACGGCCGCAAGGCUA
rnacentral:rRNA from 1 species